UACGGAGGAUCCAAGCGUUAUCCGGAUUCAUUGGGUUUAAAGGGUGCGUAGGCGGAAUGGUAAGUCAGUGGUGAAAGCCCCAGCUUAACUUGGGAACUGCCAUUGAUACUGCCAAUCUUGAGUAUAAUUGAAGUGGGCGGAAUGUGGUCGUGUAGCGGUGAAAUGCUUAGAUAUGACACAGAACACCGAUUGCGAAGGCAGCUCACUAAACUAUAACUGACGCUGAGGCACGAAAGCGUGGGGAUCAAAACAGG
rnacentral:rRNA from 1 species